rnacentral:lncRNA from 1 species
CAGGCUCCUGGACUCACACCUGGAGAGGGGGGACCCCGCCCCGCUCUGGGCCCACUCUGGGGGCGGGAUCUUAGGUUCAUCUUUCUGCAUUUUCUGUUUUACUCUUUUCUACCAUAGACAAGUGUGCAUUACUUUUCAUAAUUUGAAAAUAAAAUCAUAAAAAAUCAAGACUUUCAGAUAAACGUACAUUUAGACAUGAAUUAACUAUAAAAUGUAGCAAAGCGAGCUCUCAGCGGGCUGCCUGGUCACGGUGGUUUCUGGGAUGAAGACAAGCAGCUGGCCGGGUGGCUGAACCUGGUUGAUAGAGUCUGUGCACCGACCCUCCGGAGGGCAGGGCGCGCUGCCCCCUCGGAGGAGUCCUGCCUCGGAGACACAAUAUUACUAAAACUUAUGUCGUGACAACAUGUGCCUCUUAAUCUCCAAAGUAAUCCUGUGAGGUAAGUAUUACUGUUUUCAUUAUUCCCAUUUUUCAGGAAAAUUGGGGCCCAGAGAGAUUAAGUAAAUUGCUGAAGGUCACACAGCACAAAAGGGGUGGAGAGGAUUCUAGUCUCAGAAUUUGUCCCAAGGGCCACCUCUUGACCCGUAGGGGAUGCCGGCCUUCCUGUCUCCCUGACACCCCCUCCACUGGGACGCCAGCAAGGUCUGUGUAAAAAGCAGACCUUUCUAGAGCUGGUGGAGCUCCACUUUAGACAAAUCGGAACAUUCGAGGUCCACAGAGAGAGUGUAGUGUCCUCCAAAGAAUGAGGUCAGGGUCGGCAGACCUGGGUGUGUGAGGCCCUGCGUCCACUCCUGCCUCUGAAACCUCAGAGGGGGAAACUGAGGCACAGAGAUGCUAAGACCCUGCCCAGAGCCAGCCAUCAAGGAGGCAGCCGUCCUGCAUUCACUGGGCGUGGACUUUGUGCGCACCGCUGGUCCCACAGAUGGGCGCACCGGGGCCCGGGGGUGCACAGUGGGAGGUGCAGAGUGGGAGCCGGCGUGGGUGGGGGCAGUGAGGAGGCGCAAGCCCCUGCCUCUCUGGCCUCCCCUGUAGGGUCCCCACCCACCACCGGCCAGCUCCUUUCUGCUCAUCCCGCCUGGACCUCCCCUCCCUGGCCCCCGCCCCAGUCCCUCUGUCCUGGCCAAAUUCUCAGCUUAACAGUGACUUCUCAGGGGUCCUUCCCAGACCCCCCCACUGUAGAUUGGGGCCCCCUUUCACCUCUCCCAGCGGCCUCUGCCCCGGAGCGCUGGUCACGGUUUGCCUUCUCCCUCUGGUCUGUGGCUGUCGGACUGAGGUCUUCGGGAGACCGUCAGCUCCGAGGGGCGGGACCCUCAGCCUCACCCAGCACACGGCCGGCACGUGGCAGGUGCACAGCCCAGUGCGGGACGAGUGAAGAGAGAGGAGCAAAGGCAUGAAGGGAUGCAGGCAUGCUCCAGCCGAGACGCUGCAGGGCGGCUGGAAGGGGGCACGGGGUUGUCAGCUGUGGCGGCUGCGGUUCUUUUUUCUCACUGAAGAGGAACGUGUGAUGAUCGUGGAAGGAAUGCUUGGCUGUCACUCCCCAGCGAAGCGGCUGAUCUCUUGUAUUUUGACUGUCCCAUCCCACAUCUGGGAGAAGAACUUUCCUCCCUCUAGGGGGUGGGGGCCAUGACACCUUGUCUGCCCUGGUGAUCCUGGGUGCUCUCCGUCCCUCUGAAGCAAGCAGGGGAUCCAGCCUCCCAGCCCUGGGCCGGCACUUUGCACCGGUGGCCGAUGUUGAGGCUGCAGACUGCCUGAGAGAGCAGCUCAGGCGCAGAGGGAGGAAGCACCAGGGCUGAGAUGGGGAGGGGUCCGCAUCGCUGCGCUUUCUCCAGUGGUCUCCUUCUGGCUCCUCCAGGUGCAGGAAAAGAGCCGUGUAGGCAAGCCUGUGGUGUCUGACCCCAAGCAGCAGGGGAGGGUUCUGGGCUCUCAGUGUCCCCCACAGCUUUCUCCCCUUCCCAGAAGAUAGCAGGACUUUAUGUUCCGGUCCUUCUUCAGGCUUUGGUAGCAGGGAGUAGAGAGCAGAGUUUGCUGAAGGACGACCCAGGCUUGGAGGGAGCGUGGCUGAGGUGGUAGGCGCUGGCCAGAAGGUAGGAUCUCUGCCCGUGUGGAUUGGACCCUGGAUGCUGAGGCCUCCUCGUCUCCAAAAGACCCCUCUGCCCCAUCUCUUGGCCACUGCCCUCAAGGGACCCCGAGGGUCUGUAUAUCAGGGGCCAGGGGCCAGGGCCAAGUUGUCAGGGUUGGAAGCACCCCAUCCCGUUUGCUGGCGUGUCCCUCUAUCCUCUCUGUGCCUCAGUGUCCUCGUCUGAAGACUGGGGACAGGCAGAAGACCCUGUAAUCUGCAGCGGGAUGAUUUCAACACACAGAGCAGUUGAUCCAUGCCUUGAACAGCCGGUGCUCACACAGUACCCAGGAAGCACUCAAUAAAUGCUUGCUGUUCAUGUAAGUUGUGACUGACCAGUGUGGACUGUGGGUCUGGUGGCCCCCCGAGAGUGUGGCUCUGGGCCAGCCCUGGGGCCUUUGAGGAGCAGUGGGGCGGAUGGCUGGUCCCGCCACCGCGUGGGAUGGGGGCCUGAGGCACUUCUUGGGGGUUUGAGAGGCGAGUGGAAUGUGAGUGUCUAAGGUCAGCGAGAUUCAGGCUCACUGUCCCGUCUCAUGGGAGGCUGGCCGGGCCAGGGUGGGGGGUCGCCAAGGUAAACCUCCCACGGAGGGAGCCCAGCCUGCAUGUCACCUCGGCACCCUUUGAGGUGAGCUAGGUGACCCAUGUUUUGUAGGUGAGGAAGCUGACACUCAGGGCCACCAUGGGGAGCCGCCCCAUGCUCAUGACCGAUGAGCCGCGGAUCAGGGACCGGAACCUGGUCUGUUUCCUGAGCUUGAGGACCCUCGACAUCGGACUCAGCUGCCCUUAAGGGGCACUGACUUCCCAGGGGUCCCGGGCUCUGGUCUCCAGCGAUGGGACUGGCUCUGCCCAGUGUCCAGCUCCUGCGGCUUCUGGCCUCUGAGCUCAGUGGCUGAGCCCUUGGUGGGGACGUGUCCCCUGCCUCCUCUCUCCCUAGAAGCUGCUCCGUGUCCUCAGGAGCUGGAGGAUGGUUUUGCCACCUGGUGCCCGCGAGGCGGUGCCCAGGUGCUGGGAAGGGCGGG